GCAGUUCCAGCCAAGUUUGUAAAGGUGCCCCCUUCGACUUUGGAGGGCUUUAGAGACCCUGCAUCCCGGCACACAUCCACACCUCAGCAGCGCUCUUUCAGGUCUGUAGAGAGACAACCAAGCAAUAGUGGGAGGCGUAGAGAGGCAGAGGUGGACAGAAGCUCUGUGCCAAGGAGGAGAUCUGUAUCCGUGCCCCGUCUCAGGCCACGGCUGGAGAUCAGUUCGUAUUCCUGUGAACACCAUCUAACACAACACAUUGUGCUUACUGAAGGUUUUAGUAAGACACUAGCCUUUAAUUUCACUACUGCUACACUCACCAUCCACUUUAUUAGAAACUUUUAUUAGAACUGGAUGCGGAGCCGUUAUGUUGCCAUGCGCAGUUUGUGUUGGUUGUCCUCAGAGUGUUCGUCAGUUAUGAGCUUCUGACCACAGGACCACUGUCGGCUUGGCACUCUUCACCUUGCUUUGACGUUUGUGAUCCAUGACGCACUACCAGUUCACUGUGGAAGGAUGACAUAGGUGUCCGUCCAGGCUUUCAGCCAGACGAAGGUCAGAGCUGAAAAACAGGACUCUCCGGCCUAAAACCAGACUUCCGGCCUCCCUAUACAACACCUACUACAAUGGCACUAUGUUACUGUGUCUGGUAUGCUGAGAAAGGUGUGCCACCCAGAUUAUCUCCUCAGCAGUUGUACUGUGGUCAGAAACCAGCCGGUGAGGAGGAAGGCAGAGGAUGAGGAAUCAUGCCUGGCAGAAGAUGAGCUACUUUUUCUAACUGAAGGCCUGUGAAAUAAACCUACCAGAUAGAUGUAGCUAUUAAAGAGGCUAGUGAGUGGAGGUUUAAAGUGGAGGGUGAGUGUACAUUCAAUUCCGGAGUGAAAUAUUUCUGUAGCUAGGUGUCCUUGCUAGACUUGGGGCAUCUAAUAGCAAUUACAAGGAUUAGUAGGACAGUAUUGCUUAGUCGAUGGCAAAGUGUUUUUACAUUUGCUAAGUUUAAAAAAAAUAUUUCCACAGAUUCUGAACAUGCUCGUUCUGAACCAAAGCCCUGGACUUCAAAGUACAUCCCAGCAUCCCCUGCAGCGGAGCGUGGAACCCGAGCUAACAUUG
ensembl:lncRNA